rnacentral:rRNA from 1 species
GGUCUAGGCGGCUCGGUAAGUGGGGAGUGAAACCCUUCGGCUCAACCGAAGGCCUGCUUUCCAAACUGCCGAACUUGAGUCCGGGAGGGGAGACGGGAAUUCCUGGUGUAGCGGUGAAAUGCGCAGAUAUCAGGAGGAACACCGGUGGCGAAGGCGCGUCUCUGGACCGGUACUGACGCUGAAGCCCGAAAGCGUGGGGAGCAAACA